AAUCAACGCUGGCGGCGUGCCUAACACAUGCAAGUCGUACGAGAAAGAGGGGGCAACCCCUUGAGUACAGUGGCGUACGGGUGAGUAACACGUGACUAACCUACCUUCGAGUGGGGAAUAACCUCGGGAAACCGGGGCUAAGACCGCAUAAUAUCUUUGGGUUAAAUUCCUGAUGAUCAAAUGCGCAAGCAGCUUGAAGAGGGGGUCGCGGUUGAUUAGCUAGUUGGUGGGGUAAUGGCCCACCAAGGCGAUGAUCAAUAGCCGGCCUGAGAGGGCGCACGGCCACACUGGAACUGAAACACGGUCCAGACUCCUACGGGAGGCAGCAGUGGGGAAUUUGCGCAAUGGGGGAAACCCUGACGCAGCAACGCCGCGUGGA
rnacentral:rRNA from 1 species